GCAUGAACUCGCUUGUCGAGUCCCUCGGAUUUCCUUCUCUCACAUUUCGUUGGGUUAGACCAGACUUGCAUCGAGUCAAACCUCAGAUCCAAGUCCCUACGGGACUGAUUUCUCACUGGUAUACAAUUAUAUAUGGCUGGUAUACCUUGGAAGCAGCUGCUUCAUACUACUACACCGAGCAAAAAUAAAAAAAAUGUAGGGGAAAUAAGCAAUUUUUCAAAUUAAACUAUUUUCUUGAAAACGAUCAUGGAAUUUAAAUUUCACUUUCUAGCUAUUUUAAUUUACUGACUGGUUCUAUAUCGUUUUUACACAACUUUUAUAUAGGUUUUAUACAAAUCUUAUACAUAAAUAUUCUAUACGGAAAUUAUACAGUUUUGAUACAUAAUUUAUAUAAUAAUUGUACAUUUGCACUUCAAAUUAAACUAUUUCCUUGAAAAUGGCUUUCAUCUUGUUGAGAUUUUUCCUUCUUCGUGAAUGUCCAGAAUGUCACGUCCGAUAGCUAGUUGAAAUCCGGCCAUAUUUUAUAUAUUGUUGUGUUCACUGGAAGUAGAAAAUCCCAUGUUGUAAGUGGACUAGUCAAUAAAGACAUAAUGUUUAGUGGACCUAGAGAGAUGAAUAACUGGAAAACUUUGGUACAAAAGGAUAAGUUUAUCUUUUAUGAAUCAAUGAUGUGAAGAUGUUUUGUCUUGUGGGUGCGCAGCCAUUUUAAUGUUAGUUUUCUUUCCUUUCAUAUGUUUUCCAGUAAACUGUGAAGUCAUGGAAAGUCUUCACUUUUGGUUCAAAAUGGUGAAAUCAUGUUUACUUUUCUUUUCUUUUUUUCUCUUUUGGAGUUUUGCAAUAUAAAAGUUGGAAGUCUCAGAAAAAAUAGUAUUGUUAAUGUAUUUGAAAUUCAUAUGCGUGCUGAUGAUGAUUUGGUUGCGGGUCUCCAAUUUGAAAAGAAGUUGUUAGGACACUUAUAAAGUUAGUAUGGAUCAUGUCGGUAGAUGUAUAAUUCGUUAACCUUUACUAAACAUUUUGUGGGGAUUCUUGGUAAAAAUGAUAAUCUGUGCUAUUGGGUGUCGAUUGAAUCUUUUGAUUUCGUAACGGGAUGAGUUUGUGAGUAUAGAAUGUUGUUUUUUGAGCUAUGAAUGUGGUGCUUGAAAACUUGAUCUACUUCUUCAUACUAAUCUUUAUCCUUUUUUCUAGGCAUGAACUCGCUUGUCGAGUCCCUCGGAUUUCCUUCUCUCACAUUUCGUUGGGUUAGACCAGACUUGCAUCGAGUCAAACCUCAGAUCCAAGUCCCUACGGGACUGAUUUCUCACUGGUAUACAAUUAUAUAUGGCUGGUAUACCUUGGAAGCAGCUGCUUCAUACUACUACACCGAGCAAAAAUAAAAAAAAUGUAGGGGAAAUAAGCAAUUUUUCAAAUUAAACUAUUUUCUUGAAAACGAUCAUGGAAUUUAAAUUUCACUUUCUAGCUAUUUUAAUUUACUGACUGGUUCUAUAUCGUUUUUACACAACUUUUAUAUAGGUUUUAUACAAAUCUUAUACAUAAAUAUUCUAUACGGAAAUUAUACAGUUUUGAUACAUAAUUUAUAUAAUAAUUGUACAUUUGCACUUCAAAUUAAAUUAUUUUCUUGAAAAUGAUUGGAAUUUAAAUUUCACUUUGUAGCUAUUUUAAUUUACUGAUUGGUUCUAUAUCGUUUUUACACAACUUUUAUACAGGUUUUACAAAAAUCUUAUACAUAAAUAUUCUAUACGGAAAUUAUACAGUUUUAAUACAUAAUUUAUAUAAUAGCUGUAUUUUUUUUUACACGUUUUAUACAAUAAUUAUAUAAUUUGUACACUUU
rnacentral:lncRNA from 1 species